rnacentral:rRNA from 1 species
AUGCGCAUGAGGGAUCAUUCCGCUGAUGACUUUACUUACGACCUACAGUACGAGCCUUACAUUCGGAGAUUGGGUCUUCUCCCAUUCGUGUUGCAGUUUAAGCUACGCGCUCCGCCGGUGAACCACGCGGCGCUGACCGCACUUGUGGAUCGUUGGAGGCCGGAGACUCACUCAUUCCGCCUUCCAUGUGGGGAGAUGAUGAUGACCCUACAGGACAUGGCUAUGAUAAGCGGCCUUCCUAUCAACAGACAAGCUGUUACCGGUCGUGUUAGCGUCGGUAAUUGGCGAGAAUGGACUGGCAUUUUAAUUGGUGUUGAGCCCGACGGCCCUCAGGAAGGCAAGGCCGAUACCGCGAGAGUGAGGCAUUCCUGUCUAAAACUGGUCAGAGGAAACACCAAUCCGUGCCCUCAGGGUGCCAAUGACGUGGUUGUGCAGCAGUACGCGCGGGCCUAUCUUUGGUAUGUACUAACCAAGGUAGUCUUCUCAGAUGAAACCGGGAACUCAGCCCUUUGGAUGUUCCUGGAGCUACUCAAUAACUGGGAUACCCAGUAUAGCUGGGGUUCGGCUGCACUAGCAUAUUUGUAUCAUCAGCUUGACUUGGCGUGUCGCAAGAAGGGAGAUAUAUCCUCAUUGGCUGGGUUUGUUUGGAGCCUAUCCGUGUGGAUGUGGGAGCGGAUCUCGGUUGGACGACCCGAUUUCAAGAACCCCAACAUGCCAAACACACGGGGUAAUCAUGACGGGGUGCAUGAUGAUGAUCCAUAUCGGCGCCCUACGCUUCCUUACUAUUGGGAACAAGUGACAGUGUACACAUGA